rnacentral:rRNA from 1 species
AGAGUUUGAUCCUGGCUCAGAUUGAACGCUGGCGGCAUGCCUUACACAUGCAAGUCGAACGGCAGCACGGGAGCAAUCCUGGUGGCGAGUGGCGAACGGGUGAGUAAUAUAUCGGAACGUGCCCAGUCGUGGGGGAUAACGCAGCGAAAGCUGUGCUAAUACCGCAUACGAUCUCUGGAUGAAAGCGGGGGACUCGUAAGAGCCUCGCGCGAUUGGAGCGGCCGAUAUCAGAUUAGCUAGUUGGUGGGGUAAAGGCCCACCAAGGCGACGAUCUGUAGCUGGUCUGAGAGGACGACCAGCCACACUGGAACUGAGACACGGUCCAGACUCCUACGGGAGGCAGCAGUGGGGAAUUUUGGACAAUGGGCGCAAGCCUGAUCCAGCAAUGCCGCGUGCAGGAUGAAGGCCUUCGGGUUGUAAACUGCUUUUGUACGGAACGAAAAGGUCUGCCUUAAUACGGUGGGCCCAUGACGGUACCGUAAGAAUAAGCACCGGCUAACUACGUGCCAGCAGCCGCGGUAAUACGUAGGGUGCGAGCGUUAAUCGGAAUUACUGGGCGUAAAGCGUGCGCAGGCGGUUAUAUAAGACAGAUGUGAAAUCCCCGGGCUCAACCUGNGACCUGCAUUUGUGACUGUAUAGCUAGAGUACGGUAGAGGGGGAUGGAAUUCC